rnacentral:rRNA from 1 species
UACAUGUGGGGCAAGCGUUGUCCGGAAUUACUGGGCGUAAAGGGCGCGUAGGCGGCCUUCUAAGUCAGACGUGAAAUCCCCAGGCUUAACUUGGGAACUGCGUCUGAUACUGGGAGGCUUGAGUGCGGGAGAGGGAUGUGGAAUUCCAGGUGUAGCGGUGAAAUGCGUAGAUAUCUGGAGGAACACCGGUGGCGAAGGCGGCAUCCUGGACCGACACUGACGCUGAGGCGCGCAAGCCAGGGGAGCAAACGGG